rnacentral:rRNA from 1 species
GAUAAACGCUGGCGGCGUGCAUGAGACAUGCAAGUCGAACGAAGGAUCGGGCUUGCUCGAUCCUUAGUGGCGGACGGCUGAGUAACGCGUAGGUGACCUACCCCGAAGUGGGGAAUAACUGCCCGAAAGGGUGGCUAAUACCGCAUGUGGUCGCACGUUCAUUCGUGCGAGUAAAGCCGCAAGGCGCUUCGGGAGGGGCCUGCGUCCGAUUAGCUCGUUGGUGGGGUAAUGGCUUACCAAGGCGACGAUCGGUAGGUGGUCUGAGAGGACGAUCACCCAGACUGGGACUGAGACACGGCCCAGACUCCUACGGGAGGCAGCAGUCGGGAAUUUUGCUCAAUGGGGGAAACCCUGAAGCAGCAACGCCGCGUGAGGGAUGAAGGCCUUCGGGUUGUAAACCUCUUUUGUCAGGGACGAUGAUGACGGUACCCGGCGAAUAAGCCACGGCUAACUACGUG